UAAAAUAUUAAUGAGUAUUUUUUGGAGCAAUGUGAAACAAUAAAAAAUUUAAUAUUUUUCUACUUUGUUUUCUCAAUAUACUAUGUCACAUUAGAAUGAGACAUAACUUAAAAAACCUAGAGUAUAAACCAUGGCAGUGUGUUUGGACUGAGUUGUACUCUGUACAUGUUAGGCUCAACAAGAUGGACAUCGGAAGUCUAGUGCUACAUGCUCUGAUACCCACACCCUCUGGAGAAGGGGUCACUCAGAUCUAAUACCUUAACUCCCCUUUGCUGCAUGUAACACAGCACAGGGGUGAACAUAAGGAAAGAAAUAGUACAAAUAAGAUAAAGGAUUGCUAUUCUGGAAUUCAGUCAGCUCAGUUCAUUUGCUUAGUCCAGUCCAGUACUUUGUGACACCAUCGACUGCAAUAUGCCAAGCUUCCCUGUCCAUCACCAACUCCCGGAGUUUACUCAAACUCAUGCCCAUCGAGUGGGUGAUGCCAUCCAACCAUCUCAUCCCCUGUCAUCCCCUUCUCCUCCCACCUUCAAUCUUUCCCAGCAUCAGGGUCUUUUCCAAUGAGUCAGUUCUUUGCAUCAGGUGGCCAAAGUAUUGGAGCUUCAGUUUCAGCAUCGGUCCUUCCAAAGGAUAUUCAGGGUUGAUUUCCUUCAGGAUGGACUGGUUUUAUCUCCUUGCUGUCCAAGGAACUCUCAAGAGUCUUCUCCAGCACCUUAGUUCAAAAACAUCAAUUGUGAGGCACUCAGCCUUCUUUAUGGUCCAAUUCUCACACGCAUGCAUGACUAGUGGAAAAACCAUAGCUUUGACUAGAUGGACCUUUGUUGGAAAAGUAAUGUUUCUGCUUUUCAGUAUGCUGUCUAGCUUUGUUAUAGUUUUUCUUCCAAGAAGCAAGCAUCUCUUAAUUUCAUGGCUGCAGUCACCAUCCAAGGUGAUUUUGGAGCACAAGAAAAUAAAAUACUGUUUCCAUUGUUUCCCCAUCUAUUUGCCAUGAAGUCGUGCGACUGGAUACCAUGAUCUUAGUGUUUUGAAUGUGGAAUUUUAAGCCAGCUUUUUCACUCUCCUCUUUCACCUUCAUCAAAAGCCGUUAGUUCCUUACUUUUCGCCGUAGGGUUGUGUCAUGUGCAUAUCUGUGGUUAUUGAUAUUUCUCCCAACAAGCACAUAUUGAUAAUUUGAGGUUUAAUUUUUUUACUCUCCCUUUUAUUCUUUCCAUCAUUUAUCACCUGUUUAUUCAGCAUUUGCCAUGUUUCAGGCACAAUGCCAGGUCUGGGGACACAAUGAUUAAUGAGUCAGUCAGGAUCUCUGCCGGGCACAAAGUAAGCCCCAGACACUAAGUCAUACCACUGCUUCAAAGACAAGUGGUCUCCAAGUCUUAAAUGUAUUCUGAUUCAUUUCUCUCACUCAUACUCUCACAGACUCUGAGAGUAUCUGUGAAUUUGACUUUUAAAGUGUUAGAUUUAUACCAAUCAGGCUGCCAUGUGGGAAUCAGCUUACCUAGUUGGAAGAAAUGUAAUUUGAAUUUUUGGAUGGCUGUACUUCCAUCCUGGGUCAUUUAUGCUUCUUGUUCUUCAGGAAGCAGACAAAAGCUUGGCUCUCCAUGACUUACCCAGAAUUCCUACGUGAUUAGGUGGGUUGAAUUUGCAAGUCUUAUCUUUCUCCACCUUUGCUUUCUGCCUUCUUUUUACAACUUAGGAGUUGAAAUCCUAGUUGGAUCAGUGCUUCCUCAGGUGCCUAGUGGAGUGCAGCUGCUCAAUAAAUGAAAAUAGGAUAUUGUCAAGGUAAAGAGACCUCUGAACUCAGGUGAAUGGCACUUCCUAAAUACUGUGUAUCACUAUUCACUCUCCUCUUCCUUUUUAACUCUCCCCAAGGGAGGACGGGUUAGUUGACAGGUCCUAACCUUUCCCACCUGAAUUGAGUCUUCUAAAUACCCACAUAGAGUCAUUCCUCCAAGACUCCAAAAAUGGUCAAUACGUCCAGUCACAAAAGAGUAUUCAGGGAUUUUGUUUCUCAAUAGAAAGAAAGUAGGGGAGAAAAUCUCUCUGAUACGAUCACUCUUUUAGCUUUAAUUUCUUAUUAC
rnacentral:lncRNA from 1 species